AAAGUAAUGCGCAGCCAUGAACGUACCUUCGUGUGGUUGAACAUUCAAAGCUUCUCCUCUUUAAAAACCUCCCUUAAACCCCUCUCUCCCACUCAUUCAAUUCAGUGUAAAGCGAACCAGUCAUUCAAGAGUUGCUACAGAGGGAAUCCAUGGAUUCUUCGUUUCUUCUCCUCUUGUUGUUUCUGAGUUUCUUCUGUUUUUCUGAGUUCACAUCCCAUGCUGCACGUAUUCCAGACUAUGAAGUGCAAACUCUUAAAACAAUAUCCACAAAGCUAAACUACAAAUAUUGGAACAUAGGCCAAGGCUCAUGCAGUGGAGGUUUCAACCGAGCCAUCGAUGAUAAUAGCUACAGCAAUGUCACAUGCAACUGCACCUUCAACAAAGGAACUGUUUGCCAUGUCACAAACAUCCAGCUGAAGGGUCUUGAUUUGGAUGGAACUUUACCUGAUGAGUUUGGAAAUCUUUCUUAUCUGCAAGAACUUGAUCUCUCCCGAAACUAUAUCAAUGGAUCGAUCCCUACAAGUCUUGGUCAGCUUUUUCUUACCAUUCUCGCUCUUCCUGGAAAUAGAAUCUCUGGGUCGAUUCCUCAUGAAAUCAGUAAUAUCAGUACACUUGAGGAGCUGGUCUUGGAAGCUAAUCAGCUUGGAGAACAUCUCCCUCCAAGUCUUGGAAAGUUGAGUCAUUUAAGGAGACUUGUUCUUUCUGCAAACAAUUUCGUUGGAACAAUACCAGAAAAUUUUCACAAUCUGAAGAACCUAACUGAUUUUAGGAUAGAUGGGAAUAAUUUAUCUGGGAAGAUACCAGAUUGGAUUGGGAAUUGGACCAAACUUCAGAAACUGUAUCUGCAAGGCACAUCAAUGGACGGGCCCAUUCCUUCUACUAUAUCCCAGUUGAAAAACUUAAUCGAGUUGUUAAUAUCUGAUUUGAGUGGACCGACUACAUCUUUCCCCAAUUUGAAGGAUAUGAAAAACUUAAAAAUAUUGGUGAUGAGAAAUUGCUCCAUUACAGGUGAAAUCCUAGAAGACAUUGGAUAUAUUGGGAGUUUAAAACUUUUAGACCUGACCUUCAACAGACUGAAUCAUACAAUUCCAGUGAGCUUUAAGCAAGAAAAGAAGGAGAAAAUAAAACUCGAUUUCAUGUUUCUCACCAACAACUCACUGACUGGAGAAGUGCCCAGCUGGAUAAUAUCAGACGCUGAAAACAAAAUUGAUUUAUCUUACAACAAUUUUACAGGGCCGCACCUUGAUUCUUGCAAAAACCAAGUGAACUUGGUUUCCAGUUAUGCAUCUUCAGCAAGAAACAUGACCCCUUGGUGCUUACAGAAGGAUCUCCCUUGCUCUGGAAAAGCCAAAUACUAUUCCUUGUAUAUCAAUUGUGGAGGAGAGGAAACAACUUUUAAAGGGAAGACAUAUGAAAAAGACAACAAUGUUGAGGGUGCGUCACAGUUCUUUACUGAUGGUAUAGACAAAUGGGCUUAUAGCAGUACAGGGGCUUUCAUAGGUAACCAGGGUGGUAGUCACCUAGCCAAAAACACAUCUGCUUUGAACUCAGAGGAUGCAGAGAUGUACCAAACUGCUCGUCUUGCUCCCAUCUCACUCAAGUAUUAUGGGCUUUGCUUGCGAAAGGGCCCUUAUAAAGUGCGACUCCAAUUUGCUGAAAUCAUGUUUUUUAGUAACCAGACAUUUGGUAGCCUUGGGAGGCGCUUGUUCCACGUUUCAAUUCAAGGGAAUGUAGUUUUGAAGGAUUUUAAUAUCAUGGAAGAAGCUAAAGGUGCUGGUAAGGGCAUUUAUAGGGAUUUUGAUGCCUCUGUUGAUGGUAGCACUCUGGAGAUCCACUUAUACUGGACAGGCAAAGGGACUAAUUCCAUUCCGGAUGAAGGUGUAUAUGGGCCUCUUAUAUCUGCUAUUGCAGUGACACCAAAAUUCAAUCCCAACCCGGGGCUGUCUGUUGGAGAUAUCAUCGGCAUUGUGAUACCUUCAUGUGUGGUCCUCGUAUUGAUUUUGGUACUCCUACGAAUGAAAGGCUACUUAGGAGGAAAAGACCUUGAAGAUAGAGAACUACGUGAGCUAGGGAUGCAAACUGGUUAUUUUAGUUUACGACAGAUCAAAGCUGCUACCAAUAACUUUGACUCUGCAAAUAAGAUUGGUGAAGGUGGAUUUGGGCCAGUCUACAAGGGUGUACUGUCAGAUGGUUCAGUAAUUGCUGUUAAGCAGCUCUCUUCUAAAUCAAAGCAAGGGAACCGAGAAUUUGUAAAUGAAAUAGGCAUGAUAUCUGCCUUACAACACCCAAAUCUUGUGAAGCUUUAUGGCUGUUGUAUUGAAGGGAACCAGUUGUUGCUCAUAUACGAAUAUUUGGAAAACAAUUGUCUUGCACGUGCACUUUUUGGUUCCGAAGAACAGCGGCUAAAUUUGGACUGGCCAACUAGGAAGAAGAUAUGCUUGGGGAUAGCAAGGGGAUUGGCAUAUCUUCAUGAGGAGUCAAGAUUGAAAAUUGUUCAUAGAGAUAUAAAGGCAACAAAUGUGCUGCUUGAUAAGAAUCUAAAUGCUAAGAUAUCUGACUUUGGCUUGGCUAAGCUGGAUGAAGACGAGAACACCCAUAUCAGCACACGGAUAGCUGGAACGAUAGGAUACAUGGCUCCUGAAUAUGCAAUGAGGGGUUACUUGACCGACAAAGCAGAUGUUUACAGCUUUGGAAUUGUUGCUUUAGAGAUUGUCAGCGGAAAAAGCAACACCAAUUACAGGCCAAAGGAAGAGUUUGUUUAUCUUCUUGAUUGGGCUUAUGUCCUGCACGAGCAGGGAAACCUUCUGGAGCUGGUGGAUCCAAGUCUUGGAUCAAACUAUUCAGAGGAGGAGGUGAUGAGGAUGCUGAACUUGGCCCUCUUAUCCACCAACCAGUCUCCCACUCUCAGGCCAUCCAUGUCCUCUGUGGUGAGUAUGCUUGAUGGCAAAAUUGCAGUCCAAGCACCAACGAUCAAGCAUGAUUCGAUGAACCCAGAUAUGCGAUUCAAAGCCUUUGAGAAGCUCUCACUGGACAGCCAGUCUCAUGUCUCAGCAUUCUCUGUAGACAGUCAGGACCAAGGCAGCAUAUCAGUUGAUGGGCCAUGGGUUGAUUCCUCAAUUUCCCUCCAUAGCAGAGAAGAAACAAGGGGAUUUCCUUCAUCGAGCGUGCUUCUUACAGGACACCAAGAUCUUUAGAGUAUACAUUUGGACUGAUCAAUAAAAAUGAGCUUCUCUUUGUCAUAAACCCCACUUCCUAACUCAUUCCACUCCCACUUCCCACCUCAUUCAACUCACUAUGGAGUGAACCAGCCAAUCAAGAAUUGCUGCAGAGAGAAUUCAUGGAAUCUUCGUCUCCUCUUCUCUUGUUGUUUCUGGGUAUCUUUUGCUUUUCUGAGUUCAUGUUCUGUGCUCAAUUGCCCACGGAAGAUGAAGCCAGCUGAAGAGCCUUGAUUUGAAUGAUGUUUUACCACUGAAGUUGGAAAUCUUCCUUAUCUGCAUGCUAUCUCUUUUUGGAAACAGAAUCUCUGGAUCGAUUUCUGAUGAAAUCAGUAACAUCAGUAAAGAGCAAUGAAUGGUGCCCAACCUUGACCCCAAAUGAAAAUUUUCUUCUCAAGGAUCUUGGAAGCUAAUCAGCUUGGAGAGCAUCUUCCUCCAAGUCUUGAAAACUCGACUCCUCUAAGAAGACUGUAAGACUUUUUUUCUUUUCCAGUGUACUGUGUUUUGUGAAGCAAAAAAUAAAUUUUAACUCGUAACCACUUAUAAUUUCUUCAUGAAAGUGUGCUAUGUGUUGAUUCCAAUUGCAUUACAUCGCAGAAUAUUCCUUGUUAAUCAAUUUCAGGGGAGAGAAGACGACUUUUAAAGGGAAUUAAUUUGAAAAAGACGAUGGACAUGGGGUUGAAUCACAAUUCUUUACUGUUAAUAUAGACAAAUGGGCUUAUAGUAGUACAGGGGUUUUCAUCGGCCAACAGGGUAAUAGUCACCUAGACA